rnacentral:rRNA from 1 species
UGAGGAAUAUUGGUCAAUGGGCGGGAGCCUGAACCAGCCAAGCCGCGUGAGGGAGGAAGGCCCUAUGGGUCGUAAACCUCUUUUGUCAGGGAACAAAAGCGAGUAUGUAUACUAGUCUGAGUGUACCUGAAGAAAAAGCAUCGGCUAACUCCGUGCCAGCAGCCGCGGUAAUACGGAGGAUGCGAGCGUUAUCCGGAUUUAUUGGGUUUAAAGGGUGCGUAGGCGGCGGUGCAAGUCAGCGGUAAAAGCCCGGGGCUCAACCCCAGCGAGCCGUUGAAACUGCAGUGCUAGAGAAGGCGAGAGGUACGCGGAAUGCGCAGUGUAGCGGUGAAAUGCAUAGAUAUCACACAGAACUCCGAUUGCGAAGGCAGCACACCGGCGCCCAACUGACGCUGAGGCACGAAAGCGUGGGGAUCAAAACAGGAGUUAGAUAAC